CAAUAGCGUAUAUUAAAGUUGUUGCAGUUAAAAGCUCGUAGUUGGAUUUGUGGCUGUCGCGUGCGACCCGACACCUAGUGUUGGUGUUUGCUUGCGUCGCCAUCCUUGGGUGGAACCUGUGUGGCAUUAGGUUGUCGUGCAGGGGAGUGCCCAUCGCUUUACUUGUGAAAAAUUAGGAGUGAUUCAAAGCAGGCUUAAUAGCCGUUGAAUAUGUUAGCAUGGAAUAAUAAGAUAGGACCUUGGUACUAUUUUGUUGGUUUGCGCACCAAGGUAAUGAUUAAUAGGGACAGUUGGGGUGUUCGUAUUCCAUUGUCAGAGGUGAAAUUCUUGGAUUUUUGGAAGACGAACUACUGCGAAAGCAUUUACCAAGGAUUGUUUUCAUUAAUCAAGAACGAAAGUUAGGGGAUCGAAGACGAUCAGA
rnacentral:rRNA from 1 species